rnacentral:rRNA from 1 species
GAUGAACGCUGGCGGCGUGCCUAAUACAUGCAAGUCGAGCGAACGGACGAGAAGCUUGCUUUUCUGAUGUUAGCGGCGGACGGGUGAGUAACACGUGGAUAACCUACCUAUAAGACUGGGAUAACUUCGGGAAACCGGAGCUAAUACCGGAUAAUAUUUUGAACCGCAUGGUUCAAAAGUGAAAGACGGUCUUGCUGUCACUUAUAGAUGGAUCCGCGCUGCAUUAGCUAGUUGGUAAGGUAACGGCUUACCAAGGCAACGAUGCAUAGCCGACCUGAGAGGGUGAUAGGCCACACUGGAACUGAGACACGGUCCAGACUCCUACGGGAGGCAGCAGUAGGGAAUCUUCCGCAAUGGGCGAAAGCCUGACGGAGCAACGCCGCGUGAGUGAGGAAGGUCUUCGGAUCGUAAAACUCUGUUAUUAGGGAAGAACAUAUGUGUAAGUAACUGUGCACAACUUGACGGUACCUAAUCAGAAAGCAACGGCUAACUACGUG